UACGUAGGGUGCGAGCGUUGUCCGGAAUUACUGGGCGUAAAGAGCUCGUAGGCGGUUUGUUGCGUCUAUCGUGAAAACCUGCAGCUUAACUGUGGGCUUGCGGUGGAUACGGGCAGACUUGAGUUCGGUAGGGGAGACUGGAAUUCCUGGUGUAGCGGUGAAAUGCGCAGAUAUCAGGAGGAACACCGGUGGCGAAGGCGGGUCUCUGGGCCGAUACUGACGCUGAGGAGCGAAAGCGUGGGGAGCGAACAGG
rnacentral:rRNA from 1 species